CUCAUUUAAGGGUUGGCUCUGGAAGUGAGGGAAUCUUUUUCUGGAGUUCUUUGUCUAUCUGAGAAUUUCUGAAGGACUUGAUGACCUCACUUACCCCAGUCCAGCCAAGACCUAUGUGAAACCACAAAGAGUAAAAUAGAUAACAAAACAUGGAACUGAGGCUAAAUGCUGAGGAAAUCAGAUCAGUGUUAAUCACAGUUUCUACAGCUGCUUAAGAAGGUCCCAGGUGAAAAUACAUGUGAGCAAUCAGAAGUCAAGAAAGGGAUGUUUGCAUCACAGUAGGUUGGUGUGCUGGCUGGUGAAGUGGCCAGCGCUUCAUCAGAUGUGAAGCAAGAGUUCCUCUGCUUGGCUACUCAUCAAGGCAGCCUGAAAGCACUGCUGCAGCAAAUGCAUUUAAUAUGGAGGGAAAAUAUUUCCUUUUCCAUUUUUAUCCACUAUAAAGAAUAACUCAAAACUGAGUUAAUUAAAUUACUUCUGUGGGAUUUAGGUGAAGAUCUAUAAUCGGAAGAUCAGAAAAGUGGCCUGGAAAGGACUGUUAAAGAUUCUCUCAUUUAUCCUCUGGUACUCAGUUAGACUGACCUGCUGAAAGCCAUUUUCAAAGAUCCUCAGUACUGAUGAGCUGCUCUUUUCUCUCUUCCCUACAAAACUUGUUACUCUGUUACAGAAGAAAUCACAUUGGUUCUUGACGAAUCCACUUUGGAGACUAAUAGGAAGCCUGUUGUGUUUUUUUUUCCCACAUGCUAGCAGAAUGUUUAUAUGUGCCAGAAUUUUCCCUUAUGUUAAGAUUAAUGGUUUAUAUUAAUUCAUUUUUCAAGGUACAAAGACGUUUCUCUUCUCCUGUGAGCUGCUUUACAUCAGUUCCCUGAAUUUACUGGAAUCUGUCUUUGUUUAGAAGACGCAAAAAACAGUGUAAAUGAAACAACAGACUAAAAUCACAGGCUGGUAAUCACUAUCAUCCUGAUUACCCUUUACAUUCAUAUCUUCACACAGUUAUACCCGCUGCUACAAUUCGGUCUAGCAGAGCUUCCCCUCUCAACUGGACUGAGAGAGGCAGUAACAUUGGCCACAAACCUCCUGAAGCAUUUGUACUCCUGCACUGAGGGCUAUCUGGGCUGCUGAACCUCCCACCUUUUUAUAAUAAGUCUCCUCCAAGUUUCUCUUCAAUCCUCCCUGAACGACGACUGAAACAAUUCUCCUCAAAGUUAAAAAGGCUGCAUUCUCUCCACCGUUUGCCUUAAGUUCCCCCAACCAUUAGACUUCAGUAAGGGCUUUAAGAGUGGUGAGAACACUUUCUCUCCUUGAACAGGAAGUGAGAGCCUCCAGUGUUUGUGGACAACUGCUUCACAACCCUAAGAAUUCUCUCACAGCAGUAAGCAGAAGGACAAAUCUUUUCCAAACCCAGGAACAGGAGAGCAGCAUUGAACUGGACUGUAAAUGCUUAAUGUUUGCACAGUUAUUACCCUUUCUGUUGGGCUUUUUGGACAGAUGGAGUUGGUUUCUCUUCUUGUGCAAACAACUGUUCUGCCAGAAGUUCACCUUAUUUUCAUAUGUUAAUAUGUGUUAGACUGCUACUUUUUUUACGUUGGUUAAUUUCAUCUUGGUAUGGAAACUAAAAAGAAGGAUUUGUUCAAAAAGAAACAUGGCUGCCUAAAUGUUGAGCAGGCUCCCAGAGGUGUCUGCUCGACAGGGCACAACGAAACAGCUCAACAGAAGCCAAGCCCACAACUGUAAGAUUCCGAAAAAAGACCCUUCACAACAAAGCCCACGGGAAGGAGCCAAAAGCUCACACCAUCUCUUCGGCAGACCAAAGAAGCAGAGGGGGAACCAAGAGCUAGCCGGCACCUGUCCCCUCCGAGGCCGUUUCCUCCGAUUAACGUUCACUUUCUUUUAACAAAGCAGACUCCUGUGAUCGCUCCUCGCACAGGGAAGGAGCAUCCACAGCCUCACCCCCAGCAGUAGGA